GCCUGGGGGACGCACUUCUUUAUAUGCCCAUAUGGACCUCGACGCUAUGGAAUGUAAAGAAGUGUGUACCGCAGGC
rnacentral:pre_miRNA from 1 species